rnacentral:rRNA from 1 species
UACGGGGGGGUGCGAGCAUUGUCCGGAAUCACUGGGCGUAAAGGGCGCGUAGGCGGUGCGGUAAGUCACCUGUGAAAUCUCCUGGCUCAACUGGAGCUUGCAGGCGAAACUGCCGUGCUGGAGUGUGGGAGAGGUGCGUGGAAUUCCUGGUGUAGCGGUGAAAUGCGUAGAUAUCAGGAGGAACACCUGUGGCGAAAGCGGCGCACUGGACCACAACUGACGCUGAGGCGCGAAAGCUAGGGGAGCAAACAGG